CCUACGGGUGGCAGCAGUGGGGAAUAUUGCGCAAUGGGCGAAAGCCUGACGCAGCGACGCCGCGUGAGGGAUGAAGGUCUUCGGAUCGUAAACCUCUGUUAGCAGGGAAGUACGGUCACUGUGCUAAUCAGCAGUGAAUUGACGGUACCUGCAAAGGAAGCACCGGCUAACUCCGUGCCAGCAGCCGCGGUAAUACGGAGGGUGCGAGCGUUAAUCGGAAUUACUGGGCGUAAAGCGCUCGUAGGCGGUAUGUCAAGUCAAGGGUGAAAUCCCCGCGCUCAACGUGGGAACUGCCUUUGAAACUGGCGAGCUGGAGUGUGUGGGAGGAUAGUGGAAUUCCAGGUAUAGGAGUGAAAUCCGUAGAUAUCUGGAGGAACAUCGGUGGCGAAGGCGACUAUCUGGCACAUAACUGACGCUGAGGAGCGAAAGCGUGGGUAGCGAACAGGAUUAGAUACCCGUGUAGUC
rnacentral:rRNA from 1 species